UUUCCCGUCUUCUCUCUGAGAAAGAGAAGAAGAACAGGAACUCCAUUAGAUUUAGUUAACGAGAGCUUGUUUUGUUGUUUUUUUUUUUACUUCUUCUUCUUCUUCUUCUUCUUCUUCAUCCUCUUCAACUAACAACACCUGCAACUUCUCUUCAUCUUAAAAUCCAAUCUCUUCGAGAUCAUCACUGUUAUCUUGAUUAGUCGCUGAAGCCUGUUAUUGGACUAGAGACAGGACAACUAGUUGCUCUUACUGAGCUUUACUGGGUCCUAUCAAAAAUAAUGUCACCACCAGUGCAGCCAUGGAAUAGCUCUCCACAACCACUUCACCACCAAUGCUACAACUUCAACUAAUUUUCUAUUAGUUGUGAACUUUCUAUUAGUUGUUGGUCAGUCAUCACUGUGUGUGUUUGUGUGCUACUGCUACUUGAGCACUUGUUAUUUUGUUAAGACUUUGGUUGUUUGUCAGUUCGUGUGUUACUGUUACUUGUCAAGACUCUGAUUGUUUGGCACUUUGGUUUGCUAGUAUUAUUGCUACUUUUGGGUUGUUACUUUGUUCUUUGAUUGAGAUAUUGCUUAAUAUAUUGAAAAACAGGUAAAACAUGUA